GACCGCCCCUGUCCGGCGGUGCGGCUGCCCGCCUUAGCCCAACAUGGCGAUGCAUAACAAGGCUGCGCCGCCGCAGAUCCCGGACACCCGGCGGGAGCUGGCGGAGCUCGUGAAGCGGAAGCAGGAGCUGGCGGAAACGCUGGCGAACUUGGAGAGACAGAUCUAUGCCUUUGAAGGAAGCUACCUGGAAGACACUCAGAUGUAUGGCAAUAUCAUUCGUGGCUGGGAUAGGUAUCUGACCAACCAAAAAAACUCCAACAGCAAAAAUGAUCGCAGGAACCGGAAGUUCAAGGAAGCCGAGCGGCUCUUCAGCAAAUCCUCGGUUACAUCAGCAGCCGCAGUAAGUGCGUUGGCAGGAGUUCAGGACCAGCUCAUCGAAAAGAGGGAGCCAGGAAGUGGGACGGAAAGUGACACUUCUCCAGACUUCCACAAUCAGGAAAAUGAGCCCAACCAGGAGGACCCUGAGGAUCUGGAUGGAUCUGUGCAGGGAGUGAAACCUCAGAAGGCUGCUUCUUCCACUUCCUCAGGAAGUCAUCACAGCAGCCAUAAAAAACGAAAGAAUAAAAACCGGCACAGUGCGCGGUGAGAUAGGAAUGACAUCAGUGGACAGAGAGGCCAGGUGUUGCCCAAAGAGGGUUUUAGCAUUGACUCCGCUUGGGGUUUGUAUGAUCAUGCGAGGCCACUUAUCUCAGGUCACUGGAAAUUACACAGCUGCCUUCAGAGAGGGAAACGCAGUUUCCAAACGGAGAAGGCUUGGCCUGGCCUUAGACAUUUUGGGAGGCCUGGAGGCCAGGCGACCAGGAGGUCGGGCUCUUCUCUGGCUCCCCCAGGAGCCCUCAUGCCGAGGAGAGGAACGGGGGCCUGCAGGGGUGGGUGGGGCUCCCUGCGGUCCAUUCUGCUUCUGGAUCGGGUCACUUUGCACGUGGUAGGAUUUUCCUUCCUGCACCCAAGGUGUUAAAUUGUUAGCUCUGUGGGUGCAGCACAUGGGAAUAAUGCAGUAUUAACACUACUGGUUUAAGCCUCUUUGGAAUCUGUUGAUUCUUUCAUCUGUUAAGAGUUUUUCUUGAUGGGGGUGGUGGUUUUAGACUGCAGAAAUAGUAUUUCCUCCAGAUUGUGGCUAAGGACUGCCAGCUUAGCAUUUUUCUGCAAACCACAGAUCACCAGGCCGAUCUCACAAGCGCAGUAAGAAACAGUACAAAUGACAUAUCGGUUCUUUUCGUGAGGCUGCUUGUCUGAUCGCUGGGACGGGGCUGAUGCUGGCUUAUCACAAAGAGUAGCAGAGAACCACGCUCUUAAAAAUAUUUUUCAAAAUUGUCGAGAUGAUUAAAUGUCAUGCCCUGUGUUGCUUUUAUUAAAUACACUCCAGUGUCAUUUUAUAAUAGUAAUGCUGCUUUUCCUAUUUCAGUCUAGAGUAGGGGGAAUUCCAUUAACGUUUCUGGGACUUUUUUUGAAUUACUGAUGCCAAUAGACACUCUGUAGAUGGCUCUUGUUUAUUUCAGGUAAUACCUCAUUUCCCUCUGACAUGAUUAGCUGCUGAUAAAAUAGAAUCAGGCAUUGAAUUUAACUUCUUGCGGGUUCCUAGUAGAUUUCUGUAGGGACUGCACUUCUUUCUACCCUUUUUUGUCCUGGCCCUGGAAGCUAACUCCUUCCAGAAAAAUACUAGGAUUUAUGAAGAUCUUUGUAUUGUUUUUACAAAUGGUGUUUUCUGUUUGGGAAGCAGGGUCCUUUGACCAUUUCCCUGUUUUAAUCUGCCUGAGCCUGCCCCACCGUGGCAGAGUGGAGCGGACCUACCCCCGUCUGGGGAAAGCAGGUGGAGUGUGCCUGACUGGCAGCUCAGUGGCCGGUUACGGCUCUCAGAGCCCUGCCAUCUGUAGUCGGGAAGUGCACCUGGCCCCCAGCCUGCGCCCGACUGAUGUCUGAGUGAGUGUGGCAGUGCGGGGCUGGGCGCGGCACUCUGUGCACGUUGUGAGCUCGCCCCGAGUGGCGCUGUUCGUCCUCUGGCCAGCCGCACCCGUGUGUUGGGAUGAGGCCAGCAGCGAACCACUGCCACGAGCGUCUGAGUACCUGCUCUGUGCCAGGCAUCGUCUAGUGGUGGGUGGAGCAAAAUGGAAAUAAAUAUGGUUCUUCAGCAAAAAGGAAUAACUUCUGAAUUUGUCCUCUUUAGGAAUAUGAAAAUUUAUCAGAUAGUUUUUAGCAUUCAUAACUGAUCACAAUUCACUGUUCAGAAUUUUUAUAUUUUACAUCCUAUCUGAUUAAGUUUCAGUAUCUCUAAAGAAAAAACGUUGAAAUAAUAACUUCCAGCCACUCUUUUAGGUUUUUAUUUCCAUGCCAAACUCCAGAACUCCUCUAGGUUGUCUGUGAAGUUGUCAUUGGGUAGGUACUGUCCACUUGGUGAACAAAGUUAAGUGAUGCUGAAAGUUAAAUUUUCGGUGGUUCUUGGUUUGUACACUUACUUUAUACUCUUUCCCAAGUGGCCCGGGUGCAGCUGCUGCACAAGGACAUGGGUGCCGGGCUCACUCCCCCUUCACUCCCGCAGACACUGACUGGGAGGGGAAGAGCCGUUGGCGUGUUGUUCUACCGCCCUUGUGCAGUCGGGAGGUCGGAGCAGCGGGAGCCGGCGUUGUGCGAGGGGCGGGCGUUUGCUCGGGAGGCCCGCCCAGACCCCCGGCCCGUGGGCCUGGCGGCUUACGCGGCUUUCUCCUCGGAUGGCUGCCCUCCGGGUCCCUGAGCCCUGGGUGCCUGUGGGUGUCAACUUCCCUUUGUUUUCAUAGGGGUGCAGCCCUGAUGUAAACAGUUAACUGCCAUCACCAGUUCAGGCUCCGCAGUUUCUGGAACAAGACUCACCUGUCACUGAAGUGCAUUCCACUCCUGGCUCCUAGAAUGAGUGCUGUAGAAAAGGACCACGUUUAGAACCUAUAACUCGUUUAGAACAUGUGACUUGUUUCGAACAUAAUACUUGAGUUAAAAGUUGCAAAAAGUUUUUUAAAUGUAUGUAUAUUAGGUUAGGCUGGGAAGUUUUUUUUAAAAACAGAAAAACGUGAUGGAGGAUUGAUCUGAAGUUAAACAAAAAACCACGAGCCGACUAUUAGAAGACUCAUUCGUGCAGAAGCUUCCAGGCCGCAGCGCCUUGCCUCCCUCCUCCGGACUCACAAAGACACACCUCCCUUGCCCGAGUGCGUGGCUGUCCCGCUCUGCGUUCCCAGACCCAGUGCCUGUGACUGAGUAGUUCCUUCUGAAAUGUGGUGACAAGUCAUUUCCGUGAGACCACACCGGAUCAUUUGCUUUGUGUCAUUUUUAGUAACAGAACUGCGGGGAGACCGUGACAUGGUUCCAGUCCCAGCACGUUGCUGAGUCUCUCCCUUCCUGGAAUGAACGUCUGCCCCCGAGACUGGCCGGCCUCAGCUGCAUCUGUGGUCCCCGUCGAGAAAUGUUCUCUGCUUUUGUGCUGGAAGGAGAGCAGAGGUCGCAUUUCAGAUGGAGGCUGUCAAUACCGGGCAUUUUCUUAUUUCGUUUGUGUUUUACCAUUUUUCUAUUGUUUUUACCAUUUUACUUUCUUUUGGGACUUUUUGUAAUGACUUCGUACAGCUCAUACCUUCCUGCGGACGUAUCUAACAAGCUGUUUCGCAGAGUUGCCGAUGUUCUUGAACGGAAAGUAGUCCGGGUCGCCAAAAAUAAAAUGGGGAACUUGGCUCUUUGGUUUUGCGCAGGGGAAAGGUAAAGUGUUUAUUUAAUGAUUACCUCCCUGAACUCUUUCUGAAUUGGAAGCAGUUUCCAUGUUGAAGGAAUAGAAAAAGCUGAAAAACAUAAGUUUUAAUCAGUCCUUUUAAAAUAUUUUUAUUCUUUUAUAUAAAUAAAGUAUCACAGGGUUUGACUUCUCAUGCUUUACUCUGAAACCUGAGGGGUUUUUUUUCACUUAUUUAUUUGUAUCAUGCCUUGUGGAAAUUUUUUUCCCAUCUUAUCUCUCUCUGCUGGUAUUGCCUGAUUAAAUAGUGCUUUAAAAAUCACUAAGGCGUAUGGAAGGGCUGAAAAUUGCACCCAAGGCUGAUAACACGCGGAGUUCUUGAACAGAGUGAAAGACGGGUCAGUGGGAGCUGGCAGUGCCCACGGGUCCCUGUUCUCACUGCGGGGCCGGGGAACUGGCUGAUGGUGGUUAGCAGCCUCUGGAGCAGUGGUGCCCUCCCUCGGCUGCACGCUGGAAUCACCUGGGAAGUUUAAAAAAUACUGAUGCCUGGGCCCCACCCCCAGAAACUCUGGGCUGGGGUACAGUCUCAUGGUGGGGAUUUCCUUUCCAAGACUCCCCGGGAUUCUGAUAGGAAGCCAAGUUGGGAAUUACUGUCCUCUGCCCUGGGAGACUGGCUAGUGCGACUUAAACCCCGUGUUGUGACUCAGUCUUAGGGACGAGACUUGGGGGCCUCACCUCUCCUUUGACUCUAUUUAGUCAUAGUCCUUAUGCCUAUAUCUCUGUUAGAAAAAAAUAUGUUCCAUCUGUGAUAAUAUUGGUAGAGCUGAAUGUGGUGGCGUUGAUUAUCAAAACAAUUCUACCUUGUCUGUGCAAAAGCUUUCACUCUUGUUCUCAAAUAAACCUUUUUCUUCUUU